rnacentral:rRNA from 1 species
UACGAAGGGGGCAAGCGUUGUUCGGAAUUACUGGGCGUAAAGGGCGCGUAGGCGGCCGAUCAAGUCAGGCGUGAAAUUCCCGGGCUCAACCUGGGGGCUGCGCUUGAUACUGAUUGGCUUGAAUGCGGGAGAGGAUAGUGGAAUUCCCAGUGUAGAGGUGAAAUUCGUAGAUAUUGGGAGGAACACCGGUGGCGAAGGCGGCGACCUGGGUCGAGACUGACGCUGAGGCGCGAAAGCGUGGGGAGCAAACAGG